AGUGAACGCUGGCGGUAGGCCUAACACAUGCAAGUCGAACGGCAGCACAGUAAGAGCUUGCUCUUACGGGUGGCGAGUGGCGGACGGGUGAGGAAUACAUCGGAAUCUACUUUUUCGUGGGGGAUAACGUAGGGAAACUUACGCUAAUACCGCAUACGACCUACGGGUGAAAGCAGGGGAUCUUCGGACCUUGCGCGAUUGAAUGAGCCGAUGUCGGAUUAGCUAGUUGGCGGGGUAAAGGCCCACCAAGGCGACGAUCCGUAGCUGGUCUGAGAGGAUGAUCCGCCACCAUGGAACUGAGAAACGGUCCAGAAUCCUAAGGGAGGCAGCAGUGGGGAAUAUUGGACAAUGGGCGCAAGCCUGAUCCAGCCAUACCGCGUGGGUGAAGAAGGCCUUCGGGUUGUAAAGCCCUUUUGUUGGGAAAGAAAAGCAGCAGGUUAAGACCCCGCUGUUCUGACGGGACCCAAAGAAUAAGCACCGGCGAACUUCGU
rnacentral:rRNA from 1 species